rnacentral:rRNA from 1 species
CCUACGGGCGGCAUCAGUGAGGAAUAUUGGUCAAUGGACGCAAGUCUGAACCAGCCAUGCCGCGUGCAGGAAGACGGCUCUAUGAGUUGUAAACUGCUUUUGUACGAGGGUAAACGGAGAUACGCGUAUCUUUCUGAAAGUAUCGUACGAAUAAGGAUCGGCUAACUCCGUGCCAGCAGCCGCGGUAAUACGGAGGAUUCAAGCGUUAUCCGGAUUUAUUGGGUUUAAAGGGUGCGUAGGCGGUCGGAUAAGUUAGAGGUGAAAUCCCGAGGCUCAACUUCGGAAUUGCCUCUGAUACUGUUCGGCUAGAGAGUAGGUGCGGUAGGCGGAAUGUAUGGUGUAGCGGUGAAAUGCUUAGAGAUCAUACAGAACACCGAUUGCGAAGGCAGCUUACCAAGCUACUUCUGACGUUGAGGCACGAAAGCGUGGGGAGCAAACAGGAUUAGAUACCCCAGUAGUC